CAAUCACAUUUAUGAAGAUGUUAUUAAGACCAUAUCCUGUCACUUUGGUUAUUUCCAACUGUUCUUCUGAAAACCCACAGCUGUAGUUGCCUGAAUGGUUCAUAUCUAUUCUCUCCAUUUUAAAGGAGGUGUCUUGUUGAUUGAACUGUUUUUUCCAAUCAAUAGCUUUGCCAUUUUUAAACAGAUAUAAAUGAACUGCCUUUACUGUAAGGCCAAAUGUGCUGCAAGUAACCUCCAGUCUUCCACCUUCUGGUACUUCUUUAUUUUCACAGAAAAUCUUAGCUUGAUGAAUCGUUUGACCUGAGAAGGAAAGAAGUUCGGGACAUUUUCAUCCUGAUAAGUACAAUAGUACAUUUACUGAGUUGUUCAUUAAGUGUAUUAAUGGAACAUACCUUGACAUUUAAGGAAUAGAUUCACUGAGAUAUCUAAAAACAAUAAUCCAUUUUUUUUAAACCAACACUACCAGCAUUUGUGUAGAUUUCAUUUAUUGAUCAUUAAUGAUAGAUUUUGUAAUUUCAGUACUUACAUGCAAAAAGAAGCACACCGACCAUGGCUGCUAAGAUUUCUAUCACUUUCUCUGCACAAAAUAAUUGAGUUUCUCGUAGCUUGUGACCAAUAUGCUGUUACGGGUUCUCUGCACUAGUGUGAACAGAAUAAGGCAGUGCUUUCACUAAAGUACAAUAAUAGUCAUGCUGUGAAGGCGUUCUGAAUGCGGAAACACUGUCAAACAGUGCUAACAGAUUUUUUACAUACACGGUAUUUUACAUAUAUUCGAGUAGAACUACAAAUAUUUGCACAACAAUAUUCACCACUCACAUUGGAUUUUUCUGAUGAAUAAUCAUUAUUCCUCAACAUACAUUUCAAAACACUUAAAUAGCAAAUAGUUAAUGUCCUUUUGACUGCUAUAUGAAUCCACUACUGAUCCACACACAAUUAUUCACAUUCUAUGUUUGUUUUUUGAAAGUGAUAAUUUCUUACAUAGUAACAAUAACAGUCAUGUGAUCUGUAGAUAGAGAGUUGUUGCAGAGUGAAACGAAGACAAGAAAAUUAAAACAAGGUAUACAGUAUGUCAGCGUGUGGUAUUUUUCACAUCCAACACACAAACCACAGUGACUCUUUAACCACAUAAAUUAAUAGUGUGCUAGUAGUUCAGAUGCUGUCAAAACAAUGUAGUUUUCCAGUAACAUGCAAAACUUUCCAUGAUUAGAAGGAUGUUGCAAAAUUAAACAUUUUAAUGUCACUUUUGUAUUGCAAAUGCAACUUCGCUGAGUGAGCUGAAGCAAUAAAUAAAAUAAUUCUAUUCUUCUAUUUGUCUAUUUAUUCAUGCUAAAUGGUCCUCUCUCAGUCAUGCUACUCACAAAAUGUGCUUAGAUCCUAACUUGUGAAGGUAUAUGGUUUAGCGACACUUAGAGGUCAAAAGCAGCAAAUGCACGUUGCUGCAUUAAUGGUGACAACAACUGCAAUUAGGGCUGUCACGAUAUUAGAUUUUUCAUAUCACGGUUAUUGUGGCCAUAAGAAUUCACGGUAUCGAUAUAUCUUGAUGUCUAUAGAAACCUGGGGGGGGGUCAUAGUAUCAGUCACAUUAUUU
ensembl:lncRNA